rnacentral:lncRNA from 1 species
CUCUAUCAGAUAUUUCAGAUAUUAUGUAAUUUUCAAGAAUAAUGCUGCAAAUAAACAUAAAAAUAUAUUUCAUGCUGAUUUAAUACAAAUCAAAUAUUUUCAAAUAUUCACAUAUAAUAUGAUCAUAAAUCCGAUUCGAUUCAAAACACUCGUAACUCAACAGCCUUGACUAUGACCAACGUUUAACCCCCAUUGGCGGGGUCCACAGAAUACCAGCGCACAACCCCCACUGGCAAGGUCCACAAAUACCAGCGCACAACCCUCACUGGCAGGGUCCACAAACACCAGCGCACAACCUCCACUGGCAGGGUCCACUGAGUACCAACGUAUAAUCCCCAUUGGCGGGGCCCACUGAUGUUACUUACUGGGCUGUCUAGCUCAUUACCUUUCUUUCUAUUUUUCAGAUUCAGAUAAUUAAUUUCGAGCGUGGGAAGAAAUAUUGGGACAGAGCUUUUAGAGGCGAGAUU